rnacentral:rRNA from 1 species
UACGGGAGGCAGCAGUGGGGAAUAUUGCACAAUGGGCGCAAGCCUGAUGCAGCCAUGCCGCGUGUAUGAAGAAGGCCUUCGGGUUGUAAAGUACUUUCAGUCGUGAGGAAGGUGUUAAGGUUAAUAACCUUAGCAAUUGACGUUAGCGACAGAAGAAGCACCGGCUAACUCCGUGCCAGCAGCCGCGGUAAUACGGAGGGUGCGAGCGUUAAUCGGAAUUACCGGGCGUAAAGGGCACGCAGGCGGUUAAUUAAGUUGGAUGUGAAAUCCCCGGGCUUAACCUGGGAAUGGCAUUCAAGACUGGUUAGCUAGAGUCUUGUAGAGGGGGUAGAAUUCCAUGUGUAGCGGUGAAAUGCGUAGAGAUGUGGAGGAAUACCGGUGGCGAAGGCGGCCCCUGGACAAAGACUGACGCUCAUGUGCGAAAGCGUGGGGAGCAAACAGGGAUUAGAUACC